rnacentral:sRNA from 1 species
GCCAGGCAUGGUGGCACAUACCUGUAAUCCCAGUAACUUGGGAGGCCGAGACAGAAGCAUCAUGAGUUCAAAGCCAGCCUCAGCAAAAGCAAGGUGCUAAGCAACUCAGACUCUGUCUCUA